AAGCAGUGUUGAGCUCUCCUGGCUGAUUUUGUGCUCUGCUGUUGUUGUGCAGAUCCUUGCUGACGAUGGUGGUGGCUGGAGGCAGCACUCUUGAAGAUUAUAUCAUUUACAGACAAGAUCUCUGAAAUCUCUUUCCUUCAGACAGCAAAGCGCCUGAAUGGGAGUUCAGUGGUGAAUCUCUGUGUGAUUUGACCAUAAAGAGUUCAUCA
rnacentral:lncRNA from 1 species